CAAAGAAAGAAUAAGAAAUCUUAAAAAAAUAUUAGAAUGAUCACAAAUAUCUCUCAAAUACAUCUCAAUUCAAUCUUAAUUUAAUCCUAGUUAAAAUCCUAUUACACUUCAUUCAAACUUUAGCCCAAAACUAAUUAAAUCUUAAAUUCUAAAUAAAUCCUAAUAAAAUAUUAAACCCUAAAUAAAAUCCUAAAUCCUAAAUCAAAUCCUAAUCAAAUCCUAAAUCCAAAACUAAAUCCUAAACAAAUCUUAAACCAAAUUCCAACCAAACCUUAAACCAAACCCUAAAUCCUAAACCAAAUCCUAAUCAAAUCCUAAUAAAAUCCUAAAUCCU
rnacentral:lncRNA from 1 species